rnacentral:lncRNA from 1 species
AAAAAAAUGAUGUGUUCUCAUGGCGAUUGGAGAAUAUAAAACCCUAAAAUGGAAAGCAGAGGAGUGACUGGAAAUAAAGCUUUAGAAACUGAAUACAUGGCUGUGAAUGGUAACAACGUCUCUUUCCCAGGGAUAAGGAUCGACUGAGAAAAUCCUCCACAGUGGGUUAGAAGAUGCUAAAGAAACAUUGAAAUAUUUGAGCUACAGACUCAGAUGGCCAAGAGGCUCCAGAGGGGCAGGCCUGGUGAUGAAUGGAGCUGCAGAGAUUGCACCUGCCGAGGGAUUUCUGAAUGUCGGAGUGAGAUUUGUUACCUGAUGAUGCCUCAGGUCUGUGAAGACUUCUCCUCCCAGGGUCUCGAGGGAAGUGGAAGGAAGUGCCCAUCAGGUUAAUGCUGGAAACCUAGUCCCGUGUGUGACCCGAGGGAACUCGUCAUCGUGCGUUUGAAAGAGCUCCUGAAAAGCCUGCAGGGGGCCGCAUAGUCAGCCCCAGAGGUGAGUUUAAAGGGUCCCAGGUGAGUCACUACCUGGGUCCAGGGCAACCUGAUGCACUGUCCACCUCUGAACUGCAUUUUUCUCUGCUUGAAACCGGCCCCCAAGCCAGAUUUGAGCCAAGAAGAUAGCAGCCAGGCUUGGAGGAAUGGGGAGUAGAAAGGAAAUUAAGUGGACACUUAGGGCUAAAGCUACACCCUGGCCAAGGAACACUGAGAAACUGAGGGAAAGGGAAGCAGGGGGAGGGAAAAUAGGGAGGAAAGUACCACCUGCCUCUCCUGUAUGAACCACAGAUUCAAUAAUAGGGUGACUCAUCCUGUCAUCCCAUUAUUGGCAGAAAUGCUGCUCAGAAUAUAUUUGAUUUGCUAAUAUCCUGGGCCUCAGAUAUACCCCU